AAGAUAAAGAGGGCCCUCACGCUCAUAAGCCUCCAUGUCAAGGUGAAAGUUGGAGUCUAUUAUAGCUGAUAUGUUGUACUUUUGACCAUUGGACAUGAAUAGUUCAUCUGAAAAUAUGGGAAAUCUUCUUGCGUUGUAAAGGUUUGUGGAAUAAGCAAUGGGCACAAUGGCAUAUAUGAAAAUGGCAAAACCGGCAGCAACAUUAGCCGUAGCAAACCAUGGACUGGCCAAAGGGCUACCAAGAUAAGAACAUAUACUUGACCAGUCAAAACCAAUAGCACCAACUCCAAGACCAUGCAACCCUGAACCUAACUGGUGUGCUAUUACGGAAGUGGGAAACAUCCAGCAAAUCCACGAAAUCGAUGUUAACGAAGGGAACAAGUAGCCAGGAAAAACAUAAUAAGCAAAACUGCAAAGAAAUGCUAUAAGGAAAAACUGAUUCCGAGUUAACCCUCCCUUUCGUCUCUCCUCUUUCUCAUGUAGCGCCCUGAAAUAACAUAGCUGUUCUUCAUAAUUUUGACACCAUUAUCGAAACCGAUAUUACAUCAAUCAAUUAUUAGGUACAAUUGUAGAAAGUUUAAGCUUGAGCAGCAACUACAAGGAUUUGUUAGGGGAAAAAAUUUCUUUAACACCUAAAAAGUAAAGCACAUGACAAACCAUUAUAAUGAUAUAUUAAUAUUUAAAUUAAAAAAUAAAUUAAAUAUACUAAAAAUAUUAGUUUAUUAGAAUGUAAAAUGUAUGUUUUGUACUGUGAUGUUAAGAUACCAGCACCUUAAUAGGACUGUCAAAAUGUGCCACCAACCCGCUGCUAGAACUUUUUGGUAACCCACCAAUAUGAACUGAUGGGUUCGGCUACUUACACUUUUCAAUGUAUUUUUUAAUUUAUUUUAAUAUAUUUAAAAAAUGAGUUUACAGCAUAGAAGAAACCUAGUUAUAAUAAUUAAUAUUAUUUUUUUACAAUAAAAAAUAAAAACAAAUAAUAAUAAAAUUAAAUCAAAUUUUAAUAUUCUAAUAAAAUAAUAUUUAAUAUAAAAAAUAAAAUAAAUAUUAAUAAUACUUUAAUAAAUGGAAUGAUAUAGGAAAAAACUUAUAUAAAUAAAGUUUCUAUAUAAUUUCAGUUGAAGUAUGUACUAAGGAAUGAGCAUGUACCUGAAGAGCGAGACCUGAAAAAAAAUUUUGGGGCCACCACAUGGCAGCGGGCUCCACGAGGUAUUUUCGGAAUAUCCCGGCCCAACCGAAGCCCAAAACCUGAGACGUUAUAACUACCAAUAACGCGGUUAAAAUCGUUAAGUCCUUCCGGUAGAACAGUUUAACGGCGCUAACGAAAUAGAUGGCGUAGACGCUAGCGGCUCCCGAACUGGCGAAGAUAGUGAUAAGUACGUGCUCCUUCACGUUGAAUUUCCCUGGGUUCAGCGUGAACUCCCACUUCGUCCCCUUCAUGAACACGCGCCUUGUCACCGCCGCCGCCAUCAGGUGUCCCGCCGGCACCACCGCUAUCUGCGCCGAUAUCGCCGUCACCGACAAUGGCUCCCUCCGGAAUCCGAAGAACUGGUUCAGGAAGGAGAGAAGCACGCACGCUAGGGUUCCCAAAAUCCAUGUCCGGAAAGUGAAGGAAGGCAGCGACGGAUCGUCGCUCACAGGAACCGUCAGCGCUACCUGCUCGAUCGGAGAAUUCUCGGCGGCCGGCGAUUUCUCCGCCUCGGAGAUGGCAUCGUUGUUGUGAUGGCGCCUUUUAACUGAAAAGUGAGUCAACGAAUAUGAGAAUUAGGAAGAAAAGCAUGAUUGUUUGGAUCUCUUAAUGAAGAAAAAACAAAAAAGUACGUUUGGACUAUCAGAGAAAACGAACUUAGAGGCGCAUUAAUUUCAGGAUCAUUACACAUGUUGCUUCAAUUUGUUUCUUCCCCACUUUUUUCAUAAAAGCAAAAAAAUAAAUUGAAUGAGAAGCUCUGUUUUUAUCAUACAACAGAAAAAUAGGAACCAGAGAAUCAGAAUCAAUCGAAAAAUCAUUUUUUAAAACUGGAUUUUUUUUUUUUUCAGACUUUCAAUAAACAAAGGUAGUGAGCUACGAAACUCGAACAUUCAUCUUAAAUGGUGUCUUAGAUGUCGGAUAUUCGUAUUGAACACUGACCCUCAUAUGAUACUUGUAAGAUACGUAUUUGCGAAGUGUCCAAUUUAAAAAGUAUUUGUUGGAUUUCUGACAAUUCUAUUACAGUUUUAACACAAUCUUAAAAAAGAAAAAUAUAUUAAUUUUCUAAAAACUCAAACUUAUAAAUUUUUAUUAUGAUUAUAGAAAUAAGAAACAAAUCAUUGUGAAUCAAUCAUAAAAAUACAUCUUUCUUCUUCAAAAAAUAAUCUGAAAUAUACUUGUGGACAUAAAUAUUUAUUGUCAAUUUAUAUAAUUUAUAAUUCUAUAAUAUAUAGAUUUGUAUAUCUGUAUCCUACAUUUUAGAAAUUAUACGUAUAUUCAUAUCCGUAUUGUAUUAGUUUUCGUGUGAGUGUUUGUAUUAUAUAGUUAGUAGAGUAUUUGUUUACCAAAACAUUUUAUACCGAAUAGAGAUUAGGAAAACGUGAUACAAUCAAACAAAUAAUAUAGCAUAAAAAUAAAUUAUAAAAUAUAGUAUAAAAGUAUUUUAAGAAUAAUACUAUAGAAAAAACUUACGAGCAGUGUUAGUGUAUGUGUUAUCCGUUACAUAAAUUUAGAGCUUUUUACUUUGAAAAUAUUAUUAAAUGCAUUAUGUAUUGUCAAUGUAAUUUUAAAUAUAAUUAAAGAAAAAUACUAAUAGUAAUUAUGUAUUGUAAUUACUUUUAAUAUUAUUUUAGGAUGGGAUAUCCCACGGAAGAAUUAAAACGAUAAAUAAAUAAAUAAAAUAUUUAUAUGAAUUUAAAACACUCCGCAUGAUUAAGAUAGGAAUUCUCCGCAUGUAGAUAGUAUUAAGAAAUAGAUCUCACAUAAAGUAAUAAAUUUAAAUUUAACUUGAUUUUAUAAAAACCGAUUCAAUAAAUAAUUUAGUUAUAUUAUAGUUGAUACAUUGAAGUUAAUGAGAGAUAUAACUAAAUUAAAAUAUAUAUAGAGAGAAAUGCAAUUUCAUUUUAUUGAGUCGUUUUGGUAAGGUUAAAUUAGAUUUAAAUCUUAUUAUCUUAAUAUGAUAUUAGAGUCUAUUCCAUAUUAGUUAGAUUUAUCGUGUUACUUACAUUAUCACUUUAUUCUUAUGCUCGAAAUGUUUGAUAUUUUGUGCAAACCUCACUUUACUGAGUUAGUUUUUUUAUGUUGGGUUAUAUUUAAAUUCUACCUUAAUAUAGUAUUAUAGUCAUUAAGAAUUUAUCUUAGUCGAGAUUAUUUAGACAUAUUAUGUCAUCCGCUAAUGGAUUCUAAAAUUUCACAUUUGAUGUCCUUGUUGUGAAGAAGUAUAUUGGAGAUCUCAAAUAACUAUAAAUAUAACCAAAUUAUAAUAUACAAAUAGGUGAAAACCUCACUUUAACUAAUCAAUUGUGUAAAAUUGAGUUAAGAUUAAAUUUGACUACCUUAAUAAAAAAAUAGCUUCUCAAAGUCAAAAUCCAACUCUCCAUGUCCUCUAAAUUUUAGACUUUUCAAUUAUACAAACCAGAAAAACCAUAAAAAUCAGAAAAAUAAUUUAGUUAUAUUAUAGUUGAUACUAUAAAGUGUUUAAAAGCCAGAAAAAUCAUAUGGUUUGCAGGAAACCAUCAAUUCUUAAAUCCAAAACAAUAUCAACUAUGCACAUAGUUGUCCUAAUAAUGCCAAACUUCAAUAUGAUCAUGUCUUAGCUCACACAAUGAUCAUAAUGACAUCAACCUCCAAUAGUUUCAGAUUUACGCAUACAAAGGUAUCAUGAUGAAAUUUAUCUCAUCAAAUUGAAAUGUAUAAUGUCAAAAAUAUAUUAUUUUUUUAAGAAAAUGGCAUGAAUCUAUAGCUCCCACUAACCAACAAUGGCAAAAGAAAUCAUGAUGUCACUUGAAAACAAAAGUUCUAAGUCACUUGGCCUAGGGAUCAACCAGCAUGAAAUUUGUGUCCACAUGUUCUACCAUAAUGGAAUCAUCUUUCACAAGAUCUUUUACAAUCAAUCAUUUCAACUCUAAGUAGUUAGAUUCACUAUAAGACUUAUUAUUCUUUAUACAAAAUAAUGUAGAUUUUAUUGUAAAAAAUUGUGAGUGGCAUAAUAAUGAAGUCCACACUAUAAAUUGGUAACAACAUAAGCAACGAAAUUUUCUUGCAUUGUUAAAGAGACAAUAAGAAUAUGUUUCUUACUCUUCCAUCAUAUCACACCCUCAACUAUUGAGAUACUCGUGUUGUGGUAGUACUUUGCAUAUUGUGUUAUAUAGCUUAUUUGUUUUUAUCUAUUUUCUAUUUCUGUGUAUAGCUGCUUUUGCAAUUUUUUUUUCUUAUAUACCUUACAUAUAUCACGUUAUGUAACUUUUUUACCAUUAAAUGAAAAAUUUCUAACCUUCUAUCUUUCUUCUAUUUUAUCUUUCCUUAAAUUUAAGCUUUCAUUCCUCUUAAUAAAUAUUGCAUUACACAGGAACACAUCUUGACAUUCGUGUCAUUAGCUCCAAGAUGGUAAUAUAAUAUUCAAUAUGUAUCAUAAUAAGUUGAAUAGCGUGAUAUGUCUCCAUUAUUACUUUUUGUUCUUUCUUGUUUUUUGUUGGAUCUUGGUUUUUUGCUUCGCGUGUUGUUUUCUUACUUGUUGUCUUUCUCCAAAACAUCACACACAGAGAUGGAUCAUUACAUUAAUCAUGCAAGCCCUUCUUACUUCCAUCCUGGAGAGAAUCCCGAAACUGUGUUUGACUCCUCAACUCAACGAGAAAAAUUAUUAUUCUUGGAGUAGAAACAUGAUGUGUGUGAGGUGUUCACUUCUAUUCAAUAAUAAAUUGAAGUUCGCAAAUGACAAUCUUGAUGUUUCUGAUCGUGAAGACUAUUUGUAUGAACCUGGAAAGGUCCAACAUUAUUGUAAUCUCUUGGAUUAAUUGCAUAUUAUCUUUGAACAUUGUUGAAAGUUUGGUUUGUAUUGAUGUGGCCAAACAUCUUUGGAAAAAAUUCUUCAUUCUGAGACCGUCUUUAUCUUUUUAGCUCAAAUCAUUCUUCUUUAAUCCAAAUCUCCAAUUCACCCUAGAAACCUGCAAUUAACACCAAAUUUGGGAAUAAAAUGCUCUUAUUCAAAUAAAAAUCAUAAAAAAAGUGAAAACAUAUAAAUUCAUAAAUUAUGGGUUAUUUUAUAUGUAAAUUAGCAAAUAAUACUCAUAAGUGCCUAUAUUUUAAUAUGAAAUAUUACUAAAAUUAGACAUUGAUCAGUUCAUUCUUCUUACUUUUUUGUAUUUUGAAUAGCAUGGUAAUAUUUUAUCAUUUGAUUGAUGUUGAUGCCCAUAUAAAAGCAAUUUAUAUCGAUUCUUCACAGAUAAAAUUAUUAAAAGAGUCUCCUAAAUAUCGAUUCCUCACAUAUUUAUAAAAACUCCUUAGCAUUAGAUUAGAUAUUGAUAGCAAUUAAUAUUUCAAAUCUAUUCUUACCCUUCAAAUAUGUUAAGCAUUGUCAUUUGGGUCAGAAACUUAGAAGUAUUUUCCAAUCAAAUCUAAGGAUCUUGAUCACGAUACACGAGCAUUACAAAUAAAAUAAUAGUAUCAAUCAUCAAUCAAGAACAAAAUAUUAUAAUUAAGAGUUUAAACAGAUUACUCUCAAUCCCAAAUGGUAGAAUUAGUUAUUCAUGUUGGUCAUUACAAGCAUGGAAAGGAAGAAAAAAAUAUUCAAGAUGUUUCUCCUUGACUGCUACCAAUUUUAAGGUUUUCUAUCACCUCUUAUUCUCCCAAUUGAAUGUCUAGGGUUGUGCCUCCUGCUUCAUAUUCAAUCUAGUUGGACUUGAGUUAAGUGACUUCUCGCCUAGGCGUGAUUGGGCUAGCCUGGGCAAGUUGGAUGAAAACAGACUCAACGUCACUGGAGUGAUCUCGCCUAGGCGAGAUUGGGCUCGCUUGGGCAAGAUCCUCUGGGAGCUUUUGGCUUAGGUGAGGUUGGGCAAGUGUUGGAGCGUUCUAGCUUCCCAUUUUAGCUUUGUCUAGUCUUUUUUUGUCCUUUCAUCUUCAUUCUUUCCUAUAACAGAAUAUUAUAGUUAAGAGUUUGAACAAAUUACGUUUCAAUCCCAAAUGGUAGAAUUAGUCAUUCAUGUUGGUCAUUACAAGCAUAGAAAGCAAGAAAAGAAUAUUCAGGAUGUUUCUCCUUGACGACGGCCUCUUUUGGGUUUUUUAUAACCUCUUAUUCUCCCAAUUGAAUGUCUAAGGUUGUGCCUCAUGCCUCAUAUUUAACCUAGUUGGGUUUGAGCUAAGUGACUUCUCGCUUAGGCGUGAUUGGACUAGCCUAGGCGAGUUGGACAAAAACAGACUCAACGUCACUUGAGUGAUCUCGCCUGCACGAGAUUGGGCUUGCUUGGGCAAGAUUCUCUGGGAGCUUUUGGCUUAGGCGAGCUUGGACAAGUGCUGGAGCGUUCUAGCCUUCCUUUUUAGCUUUGUCUAGUCUCCUUUUGCCCUUUCAUCUUCAUUCUUCCCAAGAAUCCUAAAAUUACCACAAAUUUGAGAAUAAAUCGUUCUUAUUCAAAUUAUAAUCACAAAAUAUGUAAAAAGGUUUAAAUUCAUAAAUUAGGGAUUGUAUUAUAGUUAUUUUAUCAAUUAAUAUUCAUAAGUGUUUGUAUUUUAGUAUGAAAUAUUAUUGAAAUAUGACACUUAUUAAGGAUAAAUCAAUAUUUCUAGGAUAGUGUAUAUCACUUCAUAUACAAAUUUUGCAUUUUAGAUAUUCAAGGAUACAAUGUAAAUUUACAUCAUCAAUCAUAAAUAAAUCCGUUCUUUUAUAAAAUUUACACAACCUCUACCGUCACAGAAGAAAGAACCAUAGCAGCAUUUAUGAUAUCAUUGUCAAUGCUACAAGUCCAUGGCUUUAAAUUGUAGUCCACAGCAACAUGCUUGCAGUUUGCAAGGUACCUGCAACAUCUUUGUUGUAACAGUUGCAGCUACAUCAACCUGCCUGCAAGGCACUCUCAACUACAAUUUACAACCAUGGCUGCAUUAACAGUUUAACACCAUCAUAUCAUUUACAAGCUUAGUAAAGAGGACACCCUACAGAUUCAACACCUGGAGCAGUUGGACAUGAAGCUAAUGGGCACCCAUCUGAAUCAGUGCCCCACCAGUUUAGGCUGAUAUGUUCCAUCCCCAAGCAUAAGUAGAGCAAAACCCCCAUGAAGGCUAAACCAGCAUCAAGUGCCCCAGAUAAGACAUAGUUGUGUCGGCUCCACCAACCACGAUAGUAACGGUAAACAACAAAUCCUGAGACAAAUCCAACAAUGACCCAACUGGUGUAGUUUACUGCUGUAGCUGGAGGCAUAUCAGAUAAUGCACCCAAGAGCACAGGCACAGUGAUAAGCCUGAUCCAUUGUUUUUGAGGCAAAGCCUUGUGUGCUAGCCAAACUAAGAAAGGAGCUAUUGCUCCAGCCAAGAAAAACCAGUUAAUAGCCGAGUAGUGUCCAAGAUCUCCAAAAGUUCUACGGGGCCCUAUCAAACCCCAUAUCACAGACGCGUCAUAGAACACAUGAUCACCAGGACAAGUCCAAGGACUUCCUGCUGGAAGCAAUGCUCGUUCGCAUAUAUUUGGAACAGUGUUCAUGAGCCACCAUGCUGUUAGUAAAUGCACCACACCAGACAUUAAGGUGCCAACUACCUACAGAAUCAAGUAAGGGGAGUUAUGAUUCAUAUUUCACUAAUAAUUAAGUUAGUGUAUGUUUAGAUCAAAGUUUGAAAACUUAAAUUUGAAGAAACUUCAUUUUGUAAACUGAGUAUAACUCGUUCUUCUCUUUCAUUUCAAAUGAGUUUGAACUAUAAAAUUGUGACAAAACCCAAUUUAUAAUAAUAUAGGAUCCAACAAAAAGCCAAACAAGUUUUUCAGUUAUUAUUUUUGAACGUAUGUCUGAAUCAAACAUGUCCUCAGACUUUGAAAGGUCAUAUAACAGAAAAGCAAAAUAAAUAAAUAAAAAGAAUCACUUCUCUUUGAAAGCAGGGCGAGUAGGUGGGCAAACCUGUGCCAAGAACAUUUCUGUAGGAGGGAUCUUCAUGUAAUGGCCAAGCUUAAAAUCUUGUAAAAAGAAAAUUGCCUGCUUCAUGCUCACAUUACCAUACACUUUAAACAACAUGUUGGCAACCGGAUAUCCUGGGUAGAUGUAUCCAAUUAUGUAUUCUGUUAUUAUAUUCAAAGCUGGUGCCUUCACGACAUGGAAAAUUAGUUACUGUUAGGCUAUGUGAUUGAUAACGAAGGGGAAAAAAACAAACUAUUUAAGUCAUAUGCAGUAUUUGGAAUAUGAGAGGUAGCACCAAUACUUUAUUUACAUUAAUUAAGACUAAUAUGUGGUGCAAUCACUAAUUUAGUCCCACCAAUCCAACCGUUAAACUGGCAGUUAAUGUAAACCACCGGGCUGAACUUGAAGCAAACAAAAAUUGUACUUGGGUAUAAUUUAACUCUCAAAAAAUUGCACAUCCGUGUGGUCCCAAUUUAAUGUUGUACCACAAACUUUUAUCAAUUAACUUUACCAUUACCGAGAAUUUUAUAACUUGCUUACCUGAUUUGUGGUGGCUCUAAUUACUCCAACGGGAAGAGUAAAUGACAUGGCAACAACACAAGCUAACACUACACCCCACCAUGGUAGUUGGAGUUCAUUGUUGAAAUAUUCACAUAUAAAUAUAGUUGCAACGAUGUUGAACAGAAGAAUGCAAAGAAACCACCAUUCUGGAACUUGUUUGUAGUUCUUUCUCAUGAUCUUCGUGUGUAUAUCUAUCUUAUUCUCUUGAAAAGCAGACUUACUAAGUCUCAAUAUUUCACUGCAGUAUUAAGGCAACCAAUUCAACUACGGCGGCAGAUUAGUUCUUACAAUUAAAACUUCCAAUGGAAACUAUAAAUAUAUAGCGUGAUUACCUCCCAUGGAAGAGUGACACAUGAACGAGGGUUGCAGAAAGGCAAGCAAAACCAAUGCCAUAUGACAUAGCAAACAUGGUGCUAAGAUAAAGAGGGCCCUCACGCUCAUAAGCCUCCAUGUCAAGGUGAAAGUUGGAGUCUAUUAUAGCUGAUAUGUUGUACUUUCGACCAUUGGACAUGAAUAGUUCAUCUGAAAAUAUGGGAAAUCUUCUUGCGUUGUAAAGGUUUGUGGAAUAAGCAAUGGGCACAAUGGCAUAUAUGAAAAUGGCAAAACCGGCAGCAACAUUAGCCGUAGCAAACCAUGGACUGGCCAAAGGGCUACCAAGAUAAGAACAUAUACUUGACCAGUCAAAACCAAUAGCACCAACUCCAAGACCAUGCAACCCUGAACCUAACUGGUGUGCUAUUACGGAAGUGGGAAACAUCCAGCAAAUCCACGAAAUCGAUGUUAACGAAGGGAACAAGUAGCCAGGAAAAACAUAAUAAGCAAAACUGCAAAGAAAUGCUAUAAGGAAAAACUGAUUCCGAGUUAACGCUCCCUUUCGUCUCUCCUCUUUCUCAUGUAGCGCCCUGAAAUAAAUUAUGAAUGCAUGAGUUGUAAUAUUACUAUGCAACGCGGAAUUAGUAGUGCUGAUAUCUUCACACAAACAGUAAAAAAAUAUGUACAAGUAAAAAAAAUAUUUUUCUUAUUAUAAUCAUAUAGCUAUUUUUUUUAUAAUAAUAUAUUCACAACUCAUUUUUUAUAUAAUUAAUUACAACCCUUAAUUUUAUUAUUUUAAUAUUUUCAUAUCAUUUAAUUAUAAAUUUAUUUUUUAUUAUAUAUAUUUAUAUUUAAAUCUAUUACAUUAUACAACUUUCAUAAUUAUUAAAAUAUCAUUUCUCUUCAUAAUAUUUAUUUAUUAGGAUGUGAAAUGGAUAUUUUGUAAUGUGGUAUUAAGAUAUGCACCUUACUUAUUAGGGGUGUGACAACCCUCUGCUAGUACGUUUUGGUAACGGAAAAUGUUUUUAACACCAUAGUGAAAAACAUAUAUUUCACAAACAAACACUUAUACUAAUAUAAUUAUAUUAUGAAUUAAAAAUAAAAUAAAAAUAAAUAAAAUAUUAAUUUAUUAAAAUGUGAAAUUAUGUUUUUACUAUCAAUAUAUCAACACCCUUUGGCAACUUACACUUUUCAAUGUAUUUUUUAAUUCUUUUAAUCUAUUUAUUUAAUUAUAAUAAUUAAUAUUAUUUAUUUCAAUACAAAAUAAUAAUUAAAUUAAAUCUCACUUUAAUAUUUUAAUCAUAUAAGAUUUAAUAUAAAAAAUAAAAUAAUAUUAAUAAUACUUUAAUAAAUAGAAUGAUAUAGAAAAAAAAUGAUUAUAAAUAAAGUUUCUAUAUAAGGAAUGAGCAUCGUACCUGAAGAGCGAGACCUGAACAAGGUUUUGGGGCCACCACAUGGUAGCGGGUUCCACGAGGUAUUUUCGGAAUAUCCCGGCCCAACCGAAGCCCAAAACCUGAGACGUUAUAACUACCAAUAACGCCGCUAAAAUCGUUAAGUCCUUCUGGUAGAACACUUUAACGGCGCUAACGAAAUGGAUGGCGUAGACGCUAGCGGCUCCCGAACUGGCGAAGAUAGUGAUAAGCACGUGCUCCUUCACGUUGAACGACCCUGGGUUCAGCGUGAACUCCCACUUCGUCCCCUUCAUGAACACGCGCCUUGUCACCACCGCCGCCAUCAGGUGUCCCGCCGGCACCACCGCUAUCUGCGCCGAUAUCGCCGUCACCGAUAGUGGCUCCCUCCGGAAUCCGAAGAACUGGUUCAGGAAGGAGAGAAGCGCGCAAGCUAUGGUUCCCAAAAUCCAUGUCCUGAAAGUGAAGGAAGGCCGCGACGGAUCGUCGCUCACAGGAACCGUCAGCGCUACCUGCUCGAUAGGAGAAUUCUCGGCGGCCGGCGAGUUCUCCGCCACGGAGAUGGCGUCGCUGUUGUGAUGACGCCUUUUAACUGAAAAGUGAGUGAACGAAUAUGAGAAUUAGAAAGGAAAGCAUCACUGUUUGAAUCUCUUAAUAAAGAAAGAACAAAAAAGUUGUUUGGAUACUCAGAGAAAACGCACUUAAAGGAGAAUUGAUCUCAGGAUCAUUAGCCAUGUUGUUUCAAUUGGUUUUUUAUUCAUUUAAGCAUAACUCCCCACAUUUUUCUAUUAAAACAAAAAAUAAAAAAUAAUCAAAAAAAGAAUUACUAAAAUGGAAAUUAUUAUUAAAUUUUUAUAAUAUCGUUUAUUAUGGUAAUUUCUUUUAUAGGUAGUGAAGUAGAUGUCAUUGGAUGAUGAUGCUUGUCCUUUAUCACAGAUAAAGCCUUUGUAUUUGUUCCAGUUUUUGGGCAAGAUACAUUCACUGAGAAGCUCUGUUUUUUUUUCUUCAUACACAAUAUAUAAUGUUUGUCUCUUCUUGACUAAAGAGAAACUAAGGGAUGAACAAAUUACAAAUUUUUUUAGUUAUAUUUUUUUUAUGUGAUAAUUGAUAAUUUAAGUUGUAUAAUAAUAUUUAAUAUGAAUGUAUUUUAAAAAAAUAUAAAUAUAAAUAUGAUCUAAAAGAUAAGCAGAACUGGAAUUAGUGUACCCGGCAUACACCAGAGAGUUAUUGCCUUCGUUACCCACAAGGAGGAUAUUCCAUUCACGAAGACGGAGGGAUAAAAAAGUAUGCUUUAAUUCCCUUUUUAUUCCAUAUAAUUAAGAUAAAUAUUCAAUUUAUUAAGUAAUUUAAAAAAAAAAUAGGUUUUCACAAAUAAACAAUAAAAAGUAAAAUUUAUAUAUUUUACAAAGUUUUUUUUAGUUUCAAUUUGGAUUAGAUUAACUAGUUAUAUGAAUUGGAGAACUACGUAAAUAUAAUUUUAAAUUUUUUUUAUCCGUUUUUAAAUAUGAAGUUUAAAUUCAAGAAAAAAGUUUAAACACAAAUUAUAUAAACUUUAAAUAGUGAUAUUUUUUUUAUUGGAUGUGAUGUACGAUACUCUGAAAAGUAGGACAAAUCAACAUUUCUAGGCUGUUAUUGUAACUCAGAGAGAGGAAAGGAAAGGUUAUCAUAUUAACUGGUGUGUAUUACAAUGUGUUGAUAAAGAAGUAAUUUAUACACAAGGUAACACAUGGGUACCCUUAACACCCUCCCUUAAACUCAUGGUUGGAUUAGCCAUAAUCAUGAGUUUAUCCCGUACAUGCAGAAACAAUAUGCCAGAAACAGGCCUGGUAAGGGGAUCAGUAACUUGAAAGCGUGCUGGAAGAUGAAGAAGUUGAAUUUUUUGAUUACGAACUUGAUCACGAACAAAGUGGAGGUCCAAUUCAAAGUGUUUCGUUUUAGAGUGCAUAACAGGAUUUGCACUUAGCAGAACAACUCCAAGAUUAUCAGAAUACAACUUUGGUUUUGAACCUUGAAUGCACAACUCAUAAAGAAGAGAUUGAAUCCACACAAUUUCAGCAAGGAGAGUUGCAACUGCCCGGUAUUCUGCUUCCGUACUACUUCUGGAAACCGUUUUCUGUUUGUGAGAUUACCAGGAAACAAGAUUAGACCCCAUGUAAAUACAAUAGUCAGUGGUGGAUUUGCGGUCGUCAACGUCAACACCCCAAUCUGCAUCCGCAAAAACCAAUAAGAGAGGUCGUCGAGUUGUGGCGAAGAAGCAAUCCAUGUGUAAUGGUGCCAACUAAAUAACGAAGAAUUCUCUUCACAGCUUGCCAAUGGUGAAGUUUCGGAUCAUGCAUAAAAUGACAAACACGAUUAACAGAGUAAGAGAGUUUAGGCCUAGUUAUAAGAAGAUAUUGAAGUGUACAAACAACUGACCUAUACAAGGAAUGAUCAUUGAAUGAUUCAAAAGAAUUUUGUUGGAGACGCGAAGAGGAUGUCAUAGGCGUGGGUUGAGGUUUAGCAUGGAGCAUAUUUGUUUUCUGUAACAGCUCACGUAUGUACUAGUCCUGAGAGAGAUGCAUGUCACCAGUAGAUGUUCGAGAAACUUGAAUUCCUAAAAAAUGAUGAAGACUACCUAAAUCUUUUAAUGCAAAAGAAGAACGCAAAGUGGUAAUGAGGUUAGUAAUUUCAGUAGGUGAAGAUGCAGUGAUGAUUAUAUCAUCAACAUAAACCAGGACAAACAUAGUAUAAGACAAAGUGAAUUUAGUAAAUACUGAGGUAUCACUUACUGUAGAACAAAAACCAAAAUCACAUAAAGUUGUGCUAAGUUUAGAAAACCAGGACCUGGAUGCUUGCUUGAGGCCAUAAAUAGCCUUGAGUAAUUGACAUACAAGAGUGGGAUCAUGGGAGAUAAAACCUGGUUGUUGCUGCAUAUACACACGUUCAUUGAGAUCACCAUGGAGGAAAGCAUUAUCAAUGUCCACUUGACGAAUAGCCCAGUUAUUUGUAACAGCAUGCGAAAGAACAAUAUGAAUCAUGGUGGGUUUGACUACAGGACUGAAGGUCUCACUGUAGUCAAGUCCCUCAGUUUGAUUGAAGCCUUUGGCAACAAGGCGUGCCUUGCAACGUUGAAAGGAGCCAUCUGCAUGCAAUUUGGUUUUAAAAAUCCAUUUACAACCUACCAGAGAGGCAUUGGAUGGGAGAGCAGUGAGAGUCCACGUCUUUUUUUUAGGAGAGCUUGAUACUCAUCAGUCAUUGCUUGGGACCAUACAUGAGAAGUCAUAGCUUCCUUGACAAAAGAAGGAGGAGAAGGAAUAAUAGAAACAACAAUAUAAAUUUUGGAUUUAAUGAUGCCUACCUUGGCACGAGUGGUCAUGGGAUGAGUGUUAGUAGGAGGAGGAAUAGAAGGAAGACAUUCAAUAUUACCAAUUGCAGAAGCACCAAUGUCAGUAAUAGAAUUGCCAAUGGUACCAGUUGCAGAAGCACCAAUGUCAGUAGUAGAAUUGCUAUCAGAAACAACAUGCUCAUUAACAGAAUUAGUAUUUGUAUGAACAACAGUCAAAGUGGGUGAAAUAUCAUGUGUGUGCUUAUGAGAAAUAGUAGGCAUAACAAAACUAUUUGAGUCUUCAUUAUAUGGAAAAGUAGUUUCAUCAAAACGAGCAUGACGAGAAACAAUAGUCUUACCAGUGGACAGGAGACAUAUAUAGCCUUUAUUAGUUGGACUGUAUCCAAGAAAGAGAGAACAAUGUGAUCUAAAAUCAAACUUAUUAUUAUUAUAGGGGCGUAAAUUUGGAUAACAAGCACAACCAAACACUUUGAAAACAUUAUAAUCAGGUUUGCGUUUAAACAACCUAGCAUAAGGGUUAUCACCAUUCAACACAGGGGUGGGAAGAGCAUUGAUAAUGUGGGUGGAAGUGAUGAAGGCUUCUGCCCAGAAACGACGAGGCAAUGAAGCAGUGGCAAGAAGCGUUAGGCCCAUUUCAACAAUAUGCAUGUGCUUUCGUUCAACAGAUCCAUUUUGUUCAUGGGUGUAGGGACAUGUAAGUCUAUGGUGAAUGCCAUAAUGUUCAAGGAAAGGUUUAAGACAAAGAAUUUCUUUGGCAUUAUCAGUUUGAAUAGAGCAAAGUUUAGAAUUUGUUUGGUUUUCAGCAAAACUUUUGAAUUUUUUAAACACAGAGGAAACCUGAGAUUUAGUAUGAAGAACGUAUAUCCAUGUAUAUUUGGUGUAAGCAUCAAGAAAAGAGAUGUAAUACCUUGCACCAUUGGAAGCAGGUAUAGGAGUAGGACCCCCUACAUCAGCAAACACAAGUUCCAAUGAACGAGAGUAAAUGGUAAUAGAAGAAGUAAAAGGAAGCUGUUUAUUUUUACCAAGCAUACAAGCAGAGCAAAAUUUGAUAUCAGAAGAACAACGUAUAUUACAAUGCUGUAAAAUUUGUUUUAAUGUGCCAGAAUGACAGUGACCAAAACGUUCAUGCCAGAUAUUGGCUGUGAGUUUAUUAUCUACAAAUGAAGUAUGAAAAACAGAGGACAUAUGAGGAGUGUGCAUGAUUGGAAAGGUGUAGAGACCAUCCUUAAGAAUGCCGCGAAGAAGAACUUUGUUCGUAGCCUGAUCAACAACACAACAAUGGUUAGCAUGAAAUUGAAAAUACACAUGAUUGUCACGAGCAAACUGAGAAACACUAAGUAAGUUCUUGGUUAUCAGCGGAACAUGUAAUAGAUUGCACAAUAAUAAGGGUUUAUCCGUGAGAGAAGAACGAAAAAUUGCAGACCCAGUAUUAGCAAUAAACAAACCUGAGCCAUUACCCAUUUUAACAGUUUCAAUGUCGUUGUAAGGUUGUUUGGUUGAGUAGACAGUGGGAUCUUUCGUUACAUGAUGUGUAGCACCACUGUCGAGGUACCAAAGUGGAUCCUCAGUGGUGGAAUGAAUGCCCAGAAGAGACGCAUCGCUGGGUUCAGGGUCUGAGAUUGAAAACUGAGAAAAAUUAGCACGAGGAGGUGGAUUAGGUUUGUGGUCAUACCAUUGCCAACACUAAAGAGCAGCAUGACCAUAUUUGCCACAAACUUGACACGUUGGUUUGGAAGAGGUCCAAGAACCACGAGCUUGAGAUCGGGAGAAGUGAGAACCACGUGCAAAAUUUUGGGAGCGAGAAAACCCACGACCACCACGAUUGCUAUGGAACUUGAGAUUGGCUUUGUCAUUGGUGGGAUACGAAGGCGUCCAAGUUGAGAGAGCGGCAAUGGCAGGAAAACUGAGAGGAUCGAGUUGAUGAUGGCGUUCAAGACGUUCUUCUUGUACCAGAAGCAGAGCUUCAAUCUUUGCAACUUUGUAAGGAUCAGUUCUAGACAGAAUGGAAGCAACAAAGGGAUCAAAAUCAGGAGGAACACCAUCAAGAAUGGUUUCAAUGUGAUCUUCAACAGAUAUUGGGGCACCAACGGCAGCCAGCGCAUCCACCGCGCGUUUGAUAUCCAAAACAUAUGCGGAGAUAGAAAGAUCUUUUCUUUUAUUCUUUAAAAGGAGUAUGAGAAGAAAAAUACGUGUUUAGCGUCUGCCAAAUCUGUGUUGUAGAGGUAAGACCCACCAUUUGGGUUAAAAUCAGAGUGGUCAUGGACGCCAGAAGCCACGCAACCAACAAAUUAUCUUGUUGCUUGUAAGAGAUGAAUGGAAGAUUGGGACUGAGGGUUCCAUCGGCCGUAGAAAGACAGCGCGGAGGAACGUUAGUUCCGUCAAGAAACGAGGAGUGCAGCAACCCAUCAACAGUGGUCAGAACCUGUUGUUUCCACAAUAGAAAAUUUUCGUCAUCCAGUUUGAGCAUAAUAGGAGUGGUAAGGUGAUGUAGGGAGACGGAGGAGGAACUCUUGGUGGGGAGAACCUGGGUGGACGAAGAUGAUGAUGUAGAAGAAGAGGAAGAAGAAGGAGCAGAAGCCAUGAAAGAAAAGCGGAAAAAAAAAACUCUCUAGCUCAUGAUACCAUGUUAUUGUAACUCACAGAGAGGAAAGGAAAGGUUAUCAUACUAACUGAUGUGUAUUACAAUGUGUUGAUAAAGAAGUAAUUUAUACACAUGGUAACACAUGGAUACCCUUAACAUAGGCUCAUGUAUCUCAAUUCAUAUAACAAUUUUGAAUUUUAUAUCUUCAAGGAUACAAUGUAAAUACAUCAUCAAUCAUAAAUAAAUCCAUUCUUUUAUAAAACUUACACAACCUCUACAGUCAAAGAAGAAAGAAUCAUGGCAGCAUCUAUGGACAUCUUUGCCAAGUCCAUGGCUUUAAAUUGAGUCCACGGCAACAUGCUUGCAGUUUGCAAGGUACCUGCAACAUCUUUGUGGUAACAGUUGCAGCUAGAUCAACCUGCCUGCAAGGCACUCUCAACUACAAUUUACAACCAAGGCUGCAUUAACAGUUUAACACCAUUGUAUCAUUCACAAGCUUAGUAAAGAGGACACCCUUCAGAUUCAACACCUGGAGCAGUUGGACAUGAAGCUAAUGGGCACCCAUCUGAAUCACUGCCCCACCAGUUUAGGCUGAUAUGUUCCAUCCCCAAGCACAAGUAGAGCAAAACCCCCAUGAAGGCUAAACCAGCAUCAAGUGCCCCAGAUAAGACAUAGUUGUGUCGGCUCCACCAACCACGAUAGUAACGGUAAACAACAAAUCCUGAGACAAAUCCAACAAUGACCCAACUGGUGUAGUUUACUGCUGUAGCUGGAGGCAUAUCAGAUAAUGCACCCAAGAGCACAGGCACAGUGAUAAGCCUGAUCCAUUGUUUUUGAGGCAAGGCCUUGUGUGCUAGCCAAACUAAGAAAGGAGCUAUUGCUCCAGCCAAGAAAAACCAGUUAAUAGCCGAGUAGUGUCCAAGAUCCCCAAAAGUUCUACGGGGCCCUAUCAAACCCCAUAUCACAGACGCGUCAUAGAACACAUGAUCACCAGGACAAGUCCAAGGACUUCCUGCUGGAAGCAAUGCUCGUUCGCAUAUAUUUGGAACAGUGUUCAUGAGCCACCAUGCUGUUAGUAAAUGCACCACACCAGACAUUAAGGUGCCAACUACCUACAGAAGCAAGUAAGGGGGUUAUGAUACAUGAUUUACUAAUAAUUAGGUUAGUGUAUGUUUAGAUUGAAGUUUGAAGACUUAAAUUUGAAGAAACUUCAUUUUGUAAACUGAGUAUAACUCGUUCUUCUCUUUCAUUUCAAAUUGAGUUUGUUUGAACUAUAAAAUUGUGACAAAACCUAAUUUAUAAUAAUAUAGGAUCCAACUAAAAACCAAACAAGUUUUUCGGUUGUUAUUUUGAACGUAUGUCUGAAUCAAACAUGUCCUCAGACUUUGAAAGGUCAUGUAACAGAAAAACAAAAUAAAUAAAUAAAAAGAAUCACUUCUUUUUGUUUUUUCUCUGUUUUUGAAAAGAGGAAGAGAAGGUGGGCAAACCUGUGCCAAGAACAUUUCUCUAGGAGGGAUCUUCAUGUAAUGGCCAAGCUUAAAAUCUUGUAAAAAGAAAAUUGCCUGCUUCAUGCUCACAUUACCAUACACUUUAAACAACAUGUUGGCAACCGGAUAUCCUGGGUAGAUGUAUCCAAUUAUGUAUUCUGUUAUUAUAUUCAAAGCUGGUGCCUUCACGACAUGGAAACUUAGUUACUGUUAGGCUAUGUGAUUGAUAACGAAGGGGAAAAAAAAACUAUUUAAGUAAUAUGCAGUAUUUGGAAUAUGAAAGGUACCACCAAUACUGUAUUUACAUUAAUUAAGACUAAUAUGUUGUGCAAUCACUAUUUUAGUCACACCAAUCCAACCGUUAAACUGGCAGUUAAUUUAAACCACUGGGCUGAACUUGAAGCAAACAAAAAGUAGUACUUGGGUAUAAUUUAACUGUCAAGAAAUUGCACAUCCUUGUGACAUCAAUUUAAUGUUGUACCACAAACUUUUAUCAAUUAACUUUACCAUUACCGAGAAUUUUAUAACUUGUGUACCUGAUUUGUGGUGGCUCUAAUUACUCCAAUGGGAAGAGUAAAUGACAUGGCAACAACACAAGCUAACACUACACCCCACCAUGGUAGUUGGAGUUCAUUGUUGAAAUAUUCACAUAUAAAUAUAGUUGCAACGAUGUUGAACAGAAGAAUGCAAAGAAACCACCAUUCUGGAACUUGUUUGUAGUUCUUUCUCAUGAUCUUCGUGUGUAUAUCUAUCUUAUUCUCUUGGAAAGCAGACUUACUUAGUCUCAAUAUUUCACUGCAGUAUUAAGUCAACCAAUUCAACUACAGCGGCAGAUUAGUUCAUACAAUUAAAACUUCCAAUGGAAUACAUAGCGUGAUUACCUCCCAUGGAAGAGUAACACAUGAACGAGGGUUGCAGAAAGGCAAGCAAAACCAAUGCCAUAUGACAUAGCAAACAUGGUGCUAAGAUAAAGAGGGCCCUCACGCUCAUAAGCCUCCAUGUCAAGGUGAAAGUUGGAGUCUAUUAUAGCUGAUAUGUUGUACUUUUGACCAUUGGACAUGAAUAGUUCAUCUGAAAAUAUGGGAAAUCUUCUUGCGUUGUAAAGGUUUGUGGAAUAAGCAAUGGGCACAAUGGCAUAUAUGAAAAUGGCAAAGCCAACAGCAACAUUAGCCGUAGCAAACCAUGGACUGGCCAAAGGGCUACCAAGAUAAGAACAUAUACUUGACCAGUCAAAACCAACAGCACCAACUCCAAGACCAUGCAACCCUGAACCUAACUGGUGUGCUAUCACGGAAGUGGGAAACAUCCAG
rnacentral:lncRNA from 1 species